UUUCUAGCUUGCUAGAAGAUGACGAGCGGCGGACGGGUGAGUAAUACUUAGGAAUCUACCUAGUAGUGGGGGAUAGCACGGGGAAACUCGUAUUAAUACCGCAUACGACCUACGGGAGAAAGGGGGCAGUUUACUGCUCUCGCUAUUAGAUGAGCCUAAGUCGGAUUAGCUAGAUGGUGGGGUAAAGGCCUACCAUGGCAACGAUCUGUAGCUGGUCUGAGAGGAUGAUCAGCCACACCGGGACUGAGACACGGCCCGGACUCCUACGGGAGGCAGCAGUGGGGAAUAUUGGACAAUGGGGGAAACCCUGAUCCAGCCAUGCCGCGUGUGUGAAGAAGGCCUUUUGGUUGUAAAGCACUUUAAGCAGUGAAGAAGACUCCAUGGUUAAUACCCAUGGACGAUGACAUUAGCUGCAGAAUAAGCACCGGCUAACUCUGUGCCAGCAGCCGCGGUAAUACAGAGGGUGCAAGCGUUAAUCGGAAUUACUGGGCGUAAAUUUAGCGUAGGUGGCUCGAUAAGUCAGAUGUGAAAUCCCCGGGCUCAACCUGGGAACUGCAUCUGAUACUGUUGAGCUAGAGUAUGUGAGAG
rnacentral:rRNA from 1 species